rnacentral:rRNA from 1 species
GAUGAACGCUGGCGGCGUGCCUAAUACAUGCAAGUCGAGCGAACAGAUAAGGAGCUUGCUCCUUUGACGUUAGCGGCGGACGGGUGAGUAACACGUGGGUAACCUAUCUAUAAGACUGGGAUAACUUCGUGAAACCGGCGCUCAUACCGGAUAACAUUUGGAACCGCAUGGUUCUAAAGUGAAAGAUGGUUUUGCUAUCACUUAUAGAUGGACCCGCGCCGUAUUAGCUAGUUGGUAAGGUAACGGCUUACCAAGGCAACGAUACGUAGCCGCCCUGAGAGGGUGAUCGACCACACUGGAACUGAGACACGGUCCAGACUCCGACGGGAGGAAGCAGUAGGGAAUCUUCCGCAAUGGGGGAAAGCCUGACGGAGCAAAGCGGCGGGAGUGAUGAAGGGUUUCGGCUCGUAAAACUCUGUUAUUAGGGAAGAACAAAAGUGUAAGUAACUGUGCACGUCUUGACGGUACCUAAUCAGAAAGCCACGGCUAACUACGUG